UGUGUUGCAAAGAUAAGCCAUUAAUCACAGCCUAAUAAAUACUAAGAAAAUUACUCAGUAUGGAUUUGUGGUGGGGGUUUGGCACAGAUGCCACUGCAGCUGGAGAAUAUGGGGAAUUUCAGCAUACAGGAUAAGAAGCCUGCAGAUCAUGAUUCCCUUGUUCCCCUUGGUCAGGUGUCUUAUACUUUUUUGAGUGUCUGUAGUUGCACUGGGACUUACUCACAUAAGGAUGGGCUGCCUUUACAUUUGGCCAUUGUUGGAAUGCAUCACACUGCACUGAUAGCAACUACAACUCAAAGCAGAUUUCUUGACAAAUGCUGGAAAUCUGUGCUAAUUCCUAAAGUUAACAUGCAAAACCAGUGAUACACAAAGCUGAAGAAACAGUAGGCUUAUACGGGAAAGGUUAUUCCUUCAUAUUUAGAAUUGGAGGGAAGGUUACACUACACUGCAUGCUACUUUUAAUCCAUGAAAGCUUUACAUGCAAAAUUAUUUGGAUUAUAAAAAGGAGUUUUCUAAGGGAGUAGGGUUUAACAAAAAAGGAAUAUCUUACCUGUAUGUCUGUGUGGAGCAGCAUUCACAGGAAUUCUCUUUUGCUGUCCCUCCUGUGGCGGUAUCUAUAAGUAAGGCUGGACUUUGAUUGGGCAAAGGUUGAUUUAGAAGAUUAUUUAUUUAACCAAGAUUCACUGAAUAUGUUCAACACCUUGAUAGGCUGCCUUGUCCUUGCUUGCAGAAGUGCUAAUCACAUGCAUGUCUUGGCAGCUUUGAAUUUUGCUCUGCUUAUAAAAACUUAAGUCAAUGAGGUCAUCUGAGGCAAGCCUGAUCUUUACUCUGGGCAAGAAUCUUCUCCAGCUGUAAGAAAUAUCUUAGCAGGAACAGGUUCGGAUUGUGGUGGAUUGACCUGGGCCAGCAGCAUUUGACUGCAGAUCAAGAGGUUACUGGUUCAAAUCUCUACAUGUUAGAUGCCAGAUAAAGGACUGUGAUGGGUUAACCUUGGCUGGCAACCAGAUGCCCACUGAGCUGCUUUUGCUCCCUUCCUGUACAGAGCAGGAGGGAGAAAAUAGGAUGAAAAGGUUUGAAGAAUUCAAGGUCAUCCAGAAGUGGAAGGAUUUCAAGAUCUAUGUCACUGGGGAAGCUAGCAUGAGCUUGAGUGAAACUUGUGUGUGGCAGUAAGCUUCAUGAUGUUUGAGUCCAUAUAGCCAGUGGCAAGAUCUCAAGAAGUUCAGCAGAAGUACUCACUGUGUCCUGAAGAAGAGGAUGAUGGAAUAAGAACCCUGCAUAAUUAUAUUUACUGCCAGUAAGGUGGAAUAAUAAAGUAGCUAAUGGAUGCUUAAAUCAGCAUGGUGAAAGGAGCAGUUCUAGACCACCAAGAGGAUACAGCCCCUGCUUCACAGAUUUGAUGAGGACCAGGCUUUCCCACCCUCUCAUUUACAGAGCUGAAAGCUGGAGUUGGAGCUGUCAGGAUUUGGUUCUAGGAAAACUUUGGAAAGGAAAAUCUAUAUUCUGAGGUGACAAAUGAAGCUCUAUUGCCCCUUAGCACUGGUCUGGAACAGGAGGAUGUUGUGUGCAGAAGAUGACUCAGAUCACAGGGUUCCUCGCCAGGCCUGGAGGCAGCAGCCCUGUACUGGUGUUCCAAAUGGCAGCUUUGGCAAUGCUGGUAUCAGAUCACAGUAUGCUGGAAGUAAUUUAGGCAUCUACCCCAAAUUACAUGGAAGAAGGAGAGACCGUGAAUUUGAAUUGCCUCAUCAAGCAUCAGCAGGAUCAGUCAUCACAAAUGGAGGCUCGCUGGUAUGAAAAACCAAAGAAGCAAAAGGGUUUGCAAAGGACAUGGAAGGUUUGCACCACUCCUGAAACUUAAACCUCAAAAGUCACGUCCUCUCUUGCUUCUGAAAAUUCAGAUUAUCAACCAGACAGUGGCCACUCUCAAUGCAAAACCAAAAUAAAGAACACUGUCCUGACUGCUAUGGGCCUCUUUAUUAGGGUGAAUGUAACAGGUAAGCUCUAUGUGUCCAGGAGCUUUCUAGCAGAGGGAGUUGUGAGAUCACAUCCUUGUCUCUGAAGUGAAAUUUCUGCAUGCUGAAAACAGUUCAUGGAGAUGUAUCCUAUCCUCCUAGGGUGUGAAACUGAAAAUGUUUGCUGCCACGCUGUGACAGGUGGAGUAAGUUUCAUACUCCUCUGUCUUUUCAUCUGUGCAUGCUAAAUGCAAGACUGACAUGUGAUGAAUGUUGGGGAUUUGGUUUAGAUUGGCUGUGGAUCUCUCAGAGCUAAUGGGAAUAGUUUCCCAUGGGGAAACUCUGAGCACCAUUACCACAGCUGAAAGGAAUAGGGUGAAAAAAGUGAUCUGGGAAAAUGUAUGUCAAUCUUGGGUUAGCUGCAGGUCUGUCCCAGUUCACCCAGCAUCUGCUCUAUAGCCAGAGCUUCAUUCACAGGUGGGAAAGUUCUUUUCUCUAAAAUGGAGAUCUGUGUAUUUUCUUAAUAGGGGACCUCUGUGUACGCAAACAGUGCAGCCUUAUAGCCUCUUGGAUUAACUAUAGUGUACAUAGACCUCAGGGAGGAUUGGUGCUUAGAGGGAGUAGGACUUGAGAUAUGGCAGCCACCACUGAGUUGUUUUGUUCUUAUUGAGGUGAUUUAUUUUUCUGUUCCUUCAUUACUCAGGUUAAAAAGGGAUGAAACGUGCAGUGGCAGUGCUCCUGUACAAUAAUUUCUCUACAGGUCUUAACUGAUCAUAUGGUAUGGUGUCUUCUACUUGUGCCAAGUGACUUCAGCUCCAAGCCUCCAGCAGAAGGGAAUAUAUCUCUGGCAUAACUAGCUGAGGUUCUCAUCUGGUAGUUGCAGUGGUAGUGAGCUACUAGAGCUUUUUUAGGAUGGUUCUGAUCAGGGGCAGGCUGAGAAGCCAGCUCGUAUUCCUUCCAAGCUGUUCCCAGCUUUGUUAAGACAUAGGGAUUAUAUCCAUCUUUUCCCUUCCUAAAGUUCUCUCCAACAUAUUUUGAUUAAAAAUAAAAUAAAAAUUCAGUUACUUUCCUGCCACUAAGUUUUAGGUGAAAGAAGAUGCAGUUCCACAGACUUUUAUUUGCAUGUUGGUCAUUAUAUCUGGUGUGAGUGUUGUCAAUACCACAAGGAGGACAAAAGGUGACCCGAAACAGAACAAAGAUCUGAGGAUGGAUUCUGAGCUGGAGAAGAUGUGGACUGUGGUCAUGAUAUCCUGGAUAAUUUUGUAUGCCAAAGAGCUUGUGCCGUGAAAACCCUGUCUGUGGAGUCUGGGCUGCUUUGCUUAAACAAGAUAGUUUUCCUGAGAUACUGUAAGAACAACUUCAUUUUAUCGUGCAUGAUGAAUGUCCGGGAUUCACGUUGUGUUUCAUGGCUCACUUCAAGCUUUCAAGGGACUUAUUUCUGGAAUUUCUGGUACUGGUUCUUUGGGAUUAUUCACAUUUUCCCUGUAGCUCCAUCCAGGCAGAGAAGGAUUUCUUCCUGUCCUAGAACUGAAAUUCUCUCAUAUCUAGUGUCAGUUCUUCCAGUUUUUGCCAUCAUCAAGGCAAUGGAUUUCUCAGUGUUGGUACUCUUUGAAAUGAAGAGACGGUUUCUUUCCAGCUGUACUUUCUGGAACUUGCCUCCCAUAUGGGGAGGUUUUCCCUUCCUACUACAGCUCUCUAUGUAAAGAAGGGUUUCCUGGGUUCUUCUCUCAUCUGAAAUGUCUUCUGAUAUAUUUCUAGUCUAUCCUCUGUGCUCUUCAAUUUGUUCUGAGAGAGCUUGAAGCCCUUAUUCAACUCUGGGCAGUCUGUGCUCAAGUGAGUGAUGCACAGGAAGCAGGAAUGAAGUUAUUGUCAAACUCCUUGUUUUGCACACAGAAAGCAAAACCAGGCAUGUUUUACCCUAACUGUGGGAUUUUUUCAAAGGCUAUUUUGUCUGUAGUCUUUUAACUGUCUUGUGUCCCUCUCCCCUUUUCCAAGUAUUUAUGUAAAUUUGCCUUCUGUGUAAGAGGUUCUCUCCUAGUACUUAAAAUCUGGUAUCAAAUGACAAAGGGAAGAUGGCUGUAUCUAUAUCUGUUUCUGUGGUUACUAAAGCUUGUCUGAUGAGCAUUUCAGACCACUGCCAUGUUUUUCAAGCUUGGACAUGUGUGUAAUGUUUCUGAAUGUCAAAACAGACAUGUAUCUGCUAAAUAAAUAAAUCAAGUGUUCCUUUAUCUCCUCAUCACUUUGCCAGGUACCUGACUGUUUAGCAGCUCGGAAGGGCUGCAAUUGCUGCUGCUCUGGGAGCCUUUCCAUCAAAGGCAGCCUGAUUUGGGAUUCUUGUUGGAAUGAACGUGCAUGUCUCAGCUUACAGAACCAGCUGCUCAAAGGGCAUCCUUGAUGCUGAGAAGCAGUAACAAGCAGGAUAGAAGUCUCGCUAGCUGGGGGAAGGGAAAGAGAGGCAGGAAGAGCAUUGUAUGAUCCUAUGUUUUGGGUUCCACUGAACCAGUUCAGACUGCAGAUAUUUUUAGCACUGUCCUUCAUCCGGUAGUAUGCUGUACAAUUACACAUCAACAUGAUGCUUCUCUUGUAGGUUCGUGUAGCUAUGUUUCCACCUCCUGGCAACUAUAAGGAAUAGCUGAAAGGAGACUAAAGAGAAUCAUGUUUUUAUUUUGGCUAGGCACUAGAAAAUGAAGUAGGAAGAAGCGCUUCUCUUGAGCUUGAAGAGUUUUUUAACUCUUCAAAGUUCAGUGUUCUAUGCAAGGUAUAAACAUAGAAGCUGUUUCCAAAUAGUUUGCUUUGCAGCUACUGUGAAAAUCAGUGCUUGAACUGAAAGGUCAUAAAUACAAGGUACUUGCAGCAGGACUGAAAGUAAUAAGAAACCGGACAGUCAUUUUAUAUUGACGGAGGAAGCAUGAGUGUAUAUCGAUGGUAACUGGGCACAAUAACAGCCCUAGUGAAACUGCAGUCUCUAAAAUACCUAUACAUUCUGCCUAUUAGAGGCAACAAUUGUUACAGUGUUAUGGGGAACACAGUCAAGACUUUAGGUAUU